GACGAACGCUGGCGGCGUGCUUAACACAUGCAAGUCGAACGGAAAGGCCCUGCUUGCAGGGUACUCGAGUGGCGAACGGGUGAGUAACACGUGGGUGAUCUGCCCUGCACUUCGGGAUAAGCUUGGGAAACUGGGUCUAAUACCGGAUAGGACCGCACUUUAGGGUGUGUGGUGGAAAGUUUUUUCGGUGUAGGAUGAGCUCGCGGCCUAUCAGCUUGUUGGUGGGGUAAUGGCCUACCAAGGCGGCGACGGGUAGCCGGCCGGAGAGGGUGUACGGCCACAUUGGGACUGGGAUACGGCCCAGACUCCUACGGGAGGCAGCAGUGGGGAAUAUUGCACAAUGGGCGCAAGCCUGAUGCAGCGACGCCGCGUGGGGGAUGAAGGCCUUCGGGUUGUAAACUCCUUUCGCUAGGGACGAAGCUUUUUGUGACGGUACCUAGAUAAGAAGCACCGGCUAACUACGUG
rnacentral:rRNA from 1 species